GACAGGCAAAUGAUGCAUAGCAUAGUUCAAAUGAAGUCUUUGUGAUUAAUUGCUCAAAGUCUUUCGCUCCUAUCUGAUGCCUGCA
rfam:Picea glauca, whole genome shotgun sequence.